rnacentral:lncRNA from 1 species
CUGCUGCUGCACCUUCUCCUUCGACUAGGCUAAGUAAAAUUUUCAGGUACCUUGUGUGUAUAUUAUGCACCUUAGUGUUCAGUAGAAAUUUCAUCGUGUUGGUGAGCUCAUAUACUACUAUUCAAUCAGUUCGAAGACGUAAACUUGGGAAGUUCGAAAAAACAAAACAUUCAAGGGGGGUUGGGAAUAACAAGUCGAAGUUCGGGUGUCAAAUGUGAAAAAAAAAUUAUUCUAAUCUAGCAUGCUCCCUCCAACAUAUUUUCAUUUCUACUGUAGCUUGCUAUAAACAUGAAACUAUAUAAGUACACUGUGCAAAAACUUAGUGGUUCAAAUGUGAAAAAAAAAUUCUUCUAAUCUAGUUCCCACCGUGCAUUUUGUGUGUGUAGAAUUUCAUCUAAUCUAGUUCGAAUUUCAUCUAACCUCCGGCGACGCACGACGCCCUCGCCUCCCACCUCCGCGACGGACCAUGGAUCUGCAUCCGCAGGGGCGGGCACUGGUGGGAAGGAGGAGCAUCGGCAACAACCACCUCCGCCCCUUCCUGCUCCUCCCCGCCACGCGACGACCACCUCUGUCGCCCCGGGAUCCCAGCUGCAUGCAUUCAGGAGCAAGAGAAAAGAGAGGUUAAUUGUCCGUCCACACUGUCGCUCCUCGCAAGUCCACACUAGUUUUAUCACAAAAAGCAGAGGAUGUCUAUUUUAUUUCCUGAAACACAAACUAGGUGUUCUCAGUUCAGUACGUGAGCUAUCUCAAGUUCUUGGAAAACAUAUUAAACAGUAUGGUGUUUGUGCAAAAAAUUCAGACUGUUUUCUAGUUAUACAACAGUUUACUAUAUGGUAGAAUUGUAGUUGUUCAGUAAAAAGGUUCACUACCCCAACUGGGGGAUUUCUAUCCGUUUUGUCUUUCUUUUCAACUGAAAGUUGUAGCAAAUGUGAACUGAAGCUGUAGUGGAGCAAAUUAAGAAUAAUUGCCUACCUUUUUGCCACUGCUACCUUGCCACCUACAUUAAUGCUACUACUACUACUACUUAUCGUGUUGCUCAAAGUUGUGUUCUGGACAAUUUGUGGGAAAGUGUGGAGGCGCAAAUUGUUCCGCGGCUGAGGAAGGCGCACCUCGGUGCUUGCCAUGGCUGAAGACGACCUCCAACCGCGGGGCCCAAAGCAGCCAACCUUUGUUUGCAUGUGCGUCUCCUUCCUGCUUCACCUAGGUAUGCGCCACCACCCGCCGCGCUCGAUGCUCCCUACUCCCAUAGCCGUCCUCAGUUCAACCCCAUGUCAUCGAGAUGGUCGAGUUACUCGCGAGCAGCAGUCCGCCGUACCUAGAAACUUGAUUUUUAUCUGCAAAAAUCAGUUCACCGUACCUAGAACAAUCAGUUCGAUCCAUCUCCUGAUUCUGGAAAUAUGAGUUGUGUUUACUGCAAAAACUGAUGCUCUAUAGUUCACCAUGUAUAUGUGUCAUCAGUUCAAAAAAGACAUACAGAAAAAGUUCAAUUGUAUGUGUUAAAACCCAGUUUGGUUUUAUACUAUAUGUCAUAUUAUUACAAAAUACAAUAAAAGAUUUUGGUAAUGUGGCUGUAAGCUCUAACCAUAUGGCAAGUAUAGCUGAAAGUUUUCGACUCUUGAACUGAUAGCUGAAAGAUACGAUAUGUGUAUUGUUGAUAAUCUCAAACAUGUUUUACUCAACUUUAGAAAACAUGUAGUAUUGUUGUGCUGCUUUGCAAUGUCUCCAGCAGUCCUACUUCUCCAUGCCGACAAGGAUGACAUCGCCAUGCAUGCACGCUGCAACCUGUCCCCUGUCGCAGCCCCACCACUCAUUGUUGAUGCACUCCAACCCGAGGACCUCCACGAUGGAGGUCGCCUCACAGCCUAGCGAUGAGGUAACUCAUCUUCCUUGUGCGUCCUUCGCCCACUGUGCGCCCUGCUGCCCUCGACCUCCUUCCUCACAGGCAUGCUACCCCAACUUUUAUUUUGAUUUUCAGUUCAACUUGUGUGUUCUUUUCCGUGCAUUAUGCUUUAAAUGUGCAGAGUCCUGAGGCAAAAUGAUACAUUUUAGUUUGCUUUGCCGCAAGGGCAUUGCUGAAACUUAACUUCUGUCUAAACCUACAACCAUCCAUUUUGAAAAUAGAUGCUUUCAAAAAUAGAUGCUAGUUUACUUUGCAUAGAGCUUGCAGCUUAUGUUUGUGUAGUUUGAACUUAAGCUGGUAUCCCUCUCGUACUUCACUUUUUCAGUAUUGGUCUAGUUAGUAUGGUGAAGAUGAAGCUCCUUUUUGAACUUCUCCGGUUAAUAUACAUGCACUUGGUCAUCUUUUUUACAUGUCCUAACAUCAUCUCAUUCGGAGUUGUUCGUGUGCUUGUAACACAAAUCAGUUCAAAUCUCAAGAGAAGUAAGCUCAAAUAAAAAAAUACAAAAGUUCGAAGCGGAGAUGUUUGCAUAUGUUUUGUUGAAUUGAGUUCCUUCCUAAAAAAGCACUAAAUAUGUUUGCAUAUGUUUGCACAUCUUUUCAGUACAAACUUUUAAAAAAGUUUCUUUCUGAACUUCUCAAAAUUAAUACACAUGAACUUGAUUAUAUUUUUAACAUGUAUUGAUAUCAGCCUCGUUGGAUUUUUGUGCAACUUGAACUGAUCUUGUAACAUAAUCAGUUAAAAUCUCGAGAGACCAUAAAUUCAAGUUCACUAGUAUUUAUAAAUGUUGGUUGCAGUACUAGCAUUUACAAAUUUCUUAUAAUCUCCACAGUUCGGAGGCCGUACAUAUUUCUUAUUCCUAUUGCUAUAAGUUCAAGUGAUCAAAUGCUAUAAUUUCGCAUGUUAUUCUCCAAUUAGUUCAAGUGAUCAUUGUUUUAUUUUAUUGUGUAUAUGUCUAAGAGUAGACUUUGUGACCUGAACUUUCUACUUACUGCUUAGAGAAGGUCCCUUUUGUGGCAUGAACUUUCUUCUUAUUGCUUAGAGAAGGUCCCUUGGAAAAGAUGACUACCUUUCGAAGUUGGAUUAUCCUCAAACAGUUUAUAUUUUGAUGUGGAAUAGGAAAAUAGGUUUGCUUUGGAGUGUGUUUUACAAUUAGAACCUUUCAGACUUCAUAUUCUUUGAGUAUGCAAAAAAAAACAGAGGAGAAAAGUUGGGUACUUGCGUAUAGUUUUUAUAAUUUCCAUGGGAAACUAAUAUUCAUGCACCUCUUUGGUGGAUGUUUUGAUAUAUUUCCUUCACGAAUUGUAGUUGUCGAAUAGUGUUACACAAUUACUAUUCUAGCAUCAUUGUUUAUAUUGUAUUUUUUUAGCAUUCUUGCAACCCUAUUAACAACAUAUUUUUGUGCAGUGUUUGUCGGUUUUUUAUUUAUGGACAUCUUGGGCUUGCUGGGUGCAGAAUCAAAGAAGGCCAGUGAGAGGUACUAGUAGAAGAGGAAGAAGUAAUGUGAAAAAUGAGAUAAAUGUGAGAAGACCAAGUACAAAAGCGUGAGAGGAAUUCAGAUUUUUUUUCAGAUUCUUGCUGUACACAUACCUUUGGUAUGUAUAUGCACUGUAAUGUAUCUAGAAAGUAUGAAUGGUUAAUACCUCAAUGGUGCAC